rnacentral:rRNA from 1 species
UACGGAGGGUGCAAGCGUUGUUCGGAAUUAUUGGGCGUAAAGGGCAAGUAGGUGGUCUUGUAAGUCUACUGUGAAAUCCCUGGGCUUAACCCAGGAAGUGCGGUGGAUACUGCAAGACUAGAGUGCUGGAGGGGUACGUGGAAUUCCUGGUGUAGCGGUGAAAUGCGUAGAGAUGUGGAGGAACACCGAUGGCGAAGGCAGCCUCCUGGGCCAAUACUGACGCUCAUGCACGAAAGCAUGGGGAUCAAACAGG